CUAGAAUGUUAGCCAGGUAUAGGGAAUUCUUGGUUGAGGGAUAAAAUACUUUGAUACUAAGAGGAACAUCGAUAGAGAAGUCACUAUACUGCGAAACAUUGACGCUAAACCCAGUAAAGCGUAGGGAGCAAACGGGAUUAGAUACCCCAGUAGUCUACGCCCUCGAUUGAGUGAAAAGUACAAACUUCUUCAUUCUGCCUGGAAAGUAAGGUCGCAAGGCUGAAAUCCAAUGGAUUAGACGGGUACCAACAACAGCAGUGGCGCGUGUUGUUUAAUUCGACGGUCCACGAAAACCUUACCUCCUCUAUCUAAACUAUUUCUUAAAUUAGAAAGAAGUUUUUGGUAUUGCACGGCAGCCGUCAACGAAUCUCGUGAGAGUAUCUGUGAAACCUUAAAAAUAUGAAGAAGCUUAUUUCCCUAAAAAGAAAUAAAUCGGAAUAUGAUUAAGACCAAGGCAUGCACGCGUGGUCCAAUGAGGAGGGCUACAAACGCGCGACAAUGAUAGAGACAGCUAUUAAACUCUAUCACGUACGGAUAGAUUCUUGGAACCAGAAUCUUAAUGCUGGAAUUGCUAGUAAUCGCGGUUUAGAAUCUUGCGGUGAAUUUUCAAUUGGUAUUGUCCUAACUGCCUGUCAAGUACUCAGACUAGAACCAUGAGAAAAACUUAUCUUUCCUUUCGGGGAAUUAUUAGGUUUGAAGGUGGAACUAGUAUAGGUAUUAAGUCAUAACAAGGUAGUGGUAGGGGAACCUGCCGCCUAAAUUAUUUAAU
rnacentral:rRNA from 1 species